AAUGGGCGCAAGCCUGAUCCAGCCAUGCCGCGUGAGUGAAGAAGGCCUUCGGGUUGUAAAGCUCUUUCAGUUGAGAAGAAAAAGUCGUGACUAAUAAUCAUGAUUCAUGACGGUAUCAACAGAAGAAGCACCGGCUAACUACGUGCCAGCAGCCGCGGUAAUACGUAGGGNGCGAGCGUUAAUCGGAAUUACUGGGCGUAAAGCGUGCGCAGGCGGUUUUGUAAGACGGGCGUGAAAUCCCCGGGCUUAACCUGGGAACUGCGCUUGUGACUGCAAGGCUAGAGUACGGCAGAGGGGGGUGGAAUUCCACGUGUAGCAGUGAAAUGCGUAGAGAUGUGGAGGAACACCAAUGGCGAAGGCAGCCCCCUGGGUCGAUACUGACGCUCAUGCACGAAAGCGUGGGUAGCAAA
rnacentral:rRNA from 1 species